GAAACGUGAAUCCGGCACCACGCCCGUGGGUCAGACCGGGACCGUCCCGCCGCAAGGCAGGACUAUC
rfam:Actinoplanes derwentensis strain DSM 43941 genome assembly, chromosome: I